AAUAACUCCAAAGGAACAAACUUUCUUUAUGAAAGGAUGGACAUUGGAAGGGGUAUUUGCAAGAAAUGUCUUGCAUGUGUCAAAGAACACACCUUUCGAAGGUGUUGUAAAUUGUUCUUGAAUAGUUCAAAACAGUUGGUUCUUCUACUUGAAUGUAUGAUUCCGUAUUAGUAACUAUGUUUUACAAUCGUUGUAAAAUGUGACUAAUAAGAAGUAGAAGAUAUAUGAGAGAAGAAAAUGUGCUUCACAUACGGAACGUGAAUAAGAUAUAGAUCUCUGCGAAAGCAGAUAGUACUUACUUCCUCAUAUGA
rnacentral:lncRNA from 1 species